UAGGGAAUCUUCCGCAAUGGACGCAAGUCUGACGGAGCAACGCCGCGUGAGUGAAGAAGGAUUUCGGUUCGUAAAACUCUGUUGUUAGAGAAGAACAGCGCAUAGAGUAACUGUUAUGCGUGUGACGGUAUCUAACCAGAAAGCCACGGCUAACUACGUGCCAGCAGCCGCGGUAAUACGUAGGUCCCGAGCGUUGUCCGGAUUUAUUGGGCGUAAAGCGAGCGCAGGCGGUCAAUUAAGUCUGAUGUGAAAGCCCCCGGCUCAACCGGGGAGGGUCAUUGGAAACUGGUUGACUUGAGUGCAGAAGGGGAGAGUGGAAUUCCAUGUGUAGCGGUGAAAUGCGUAGAUAUAUGGAGGAACACCGGUGGCGAAAGCGGCUCUCUGGUCUGUAACUGACGCUGAGGCUCGAAAGCGUGGGGAGCGAACAGG
rnacentral:rRNA from 1 species